rnacentral:tRNA from 1 species
CCUGGUGGCUCAGAUGGUAAAGAAUCUGCCUGCAAUGCAGGAGACCCAGGUUCAGUUCCUGCGUCAGGA